CCUACGGGUGGCAGCAGUGGGGAAUAUUGGGCAAUGGGCGCAAGCCUGACCCAGCAACGCCGCGUGAAGGACGAAGGCUUUCUGGUUGUAAACUUCUUUUGUCAGGGAAGAGUAGAAGACGGUACCUGACGAAUAAGCCACGGCUAACUACGUGCCAGCAGCCGCGGUAGUACGUAGGUGGCAAGCGUUGUCCGGAUUUACUGGGUGUAAAGGGCGUGUAGCCGGGUUGACAAGUCAGAUGUGAAAUCCUUCGGCUUAACCGCAGAACUGCAUUUGACACUGUUGAUCUUGAGUACUGGAGAGGCAGACGGAAUGCCUAGUGUAGCGGUGAAAUGCGUAGAUAUUAGGAGGAACACCAGUGGCGAAGGCGGUCUGCUGGACAGCAACGGACGGUGAGGCGCGAAAGCGUGGGGAGCAAACAGGAGUAGAUACCCUUGUAGUC
rnacentral:rRNA from 1 species